rnacentral:lncRNA from 1 species
GCUUUGAUAUCAUCUUAGUAGUUAUAGAGACAUCCAACCCAAGACCAUCAGGUCCAUGCGGUUCAAGUUUCUGCCUCAGUGUAUAUCUCGUGACACAUCUAUCUCUCUGUCCGCGUGCAUAAGGUUGCACUAUUUCACUGUGGAGAGAAUUUUGGGAGUUUUUUUACUCAAAUUUAAUUUUGGUAUGAGUAAAAGGUAAAGAUGGAGAUUCCCUAAAGGAGGGGAGAGAAUUGUGGUUAACUCAGCGCACCCCAAAAUUAUAAAACCCUAUUCUUCAAAAAGAAAUUCCCUUUUUCUGUAAAUCCCAUAUCGGAGUUUACAAAAAAACUCUUAAAAAAGAAAAAAGUUAAACAAAAAAACAGUAAAUUUAUGUGUGAUUUGUUUGACUUUCAUAUUAAAUCAAUAUAAAAAAUUAUCAAUUCAAAUAAAAAAGUGUUUUAAUAAUAUUUUAAUGUGAUUUGUCUAAUUAGAAAGUAUCCCAAUAUAUAUUAUACAAUAAUUAUUGAUAUUUUUUACAAUUGUAAGAAAGUUUUCAAAAAAAUACUGUGGAUAUCUCAUUAAAAUCAAUUAUUUUAAAAAUAGUAUUGACGAAUUUUCAAUAUAUGAACAAAUUUUUUUUUUUCUUGUUUUAUUUUUGACACAUGUCAGAACAUCCCCACCCUUUAAUGUAGAAACUCGUUUUAACCAAAAUAUUUAGUCAUAUAAUCAAAU